AAAGUAGGUGUGAAGUCAGAGUAGAGAGAAAAAAAUUAAGUGGAACAGACUAGAGUGCAAAAGCCUCAUCAGCUGAUGAUGACUAAAGACUUCUGGAACAACAUCCUUUGGAUUAAUGCGACCAAAGGCCUAACUGUGGAUGUUCUUCAUAUGUAUUGCAACAGCAAACAAACCAGUCUCCAUCGAUGAACACGGACAAUACCCAAAGCAGACCAAUGCAAACUGCCUUCGUAAUUUGUAAACACAAAACCAAGAAAAGUUUGCACCCGCAUUUGCAACAACAACAAGAACAAGAACAACAGGUGCAUGUAGGACAUGUGCAUGUACCACAUGUGUAUUUCCAGACUCUCUUGAAUGGCUCGUCUGUCCAGAGUUGUAAAGCACAUAAAAUUAAAAAAGGUAGAACCAAGUAGAAGGAGCAGGUUGUUAUGUCAGCAUCGCAAGUGCAGUUUAAAUCCUCGUCAAGCACAUAAUUGUGAACAAAAAUCACAAUCAUUGCGACAUACGUGCUGUAUUGUUUGAUGGCAAAUUUUGGGAAGAAGGUCUUCAUCUUGGGUGCUGAGGUUAGCUUCUGCUGAGAGCUGCAAACUUAAACUGAAUAUAUUCUGAGAGGAAACUGUUCUCUUCCUGUACACAGAAGAAUAACUGCAGCCUCUUUUAUCUUCCUGGGUUUUGAUCUUGAAAAGUUCUUGCAGUAUUUUUUUUUUAUUUCUCUGAAUACUUCUUCUGUCUUUUGUUCCUCUUUUUUUAAAAAAGCUUCUAAAUUACAAACUAUUGAAGAAAUCAGCCAGAUAACACUGCAGCUUCAAAGAGUGAACAAGAUGUAGCACAGAGUAAAACCUGUUGAAAACAUGUUUUUCUGACCACCUUUGACCCAGUCCUUCAAAUCUCAGUAGAAAGAA